rnacentral:lncRNA from 13 species
CUAAGAGAUAUGUUUAUGGGAAAACAUUUCCAAAGAGUUUUUAUGGUUUUAUAGCAGAGCUACUGCCAGUUUUCUGUUGACUGUCAAUCUUGUGCUUUGUCCAGAAGACCAGUUUAUCUUCAAGUUUCUUUGGUUAUGAGAUCUUAACCCCAGACUAUUUUAAGGCUCAAGAGUAAAAAUACAGAUGAUGGAUAGCAAUGGGAAUUGAUGCAGUGGAGAAGAGAGGAGAAAGAAGUGAUAAAGGAACAGUUCCUUAAUCUCUCCCAAGGCCAAAGCAAAGGCCUUGGGAGAGAUUAAGAUUGUAAUCCCUUUUCACAGAGUCCAAAUUACAGGAAUCCAGCAUUGCCUGAGAGUUUGAAGAGCGAUGUGAGUACACUGUGGCGAAGAGUUCAAGGCACCAGUAGGAUGAGGACCGGCAGGCUGAGUCUCUAGCCAUAGGGGAAAUAAGAAUCGUUAGCAAAAGGAAAUUGUAAAAGAGGAGAAUGCCUAGAAAUAGAAGUCUCCAGCAUAAAAUGGUAUCCAGCGAGGGUAAAGCUGAGCAAAUGUUUGGUGAGUAGCUUGUGAAUCCAAGCAGUGCUGGAGAUUGGCAGCGGAGAGGACCGCGGAGAGCCAACAUAAAUGACUGAGCAUGAGAACAAAACAAAGCACAGCAUUUUCAUCCGAUUGGCCAAAUGAAGAUGCUUUGAUUUCAUUCAUAUGCCAUCUCCAGGGGAAGUCAUUUGAGAUCAAAACGUUUUUCAGAAGGGAUCUCUUUUCUCCUUUUCAAUAGCAUGAUGUACUAUACAGCAAGCUCCCCACUCAUUUUAAGACCAUUUUGUAGCACUGUUAACCCUUUCUGUCUCUCUCUCAUAUGCUCUCUUUCUUUUCCUGUCUUGCCUCCAUUUUAAUUGUUUAAUUGUUUAAAUUGUUUAAUUUACUAUGCAAAUCUCUAUGUUAAAGCCACUUUUGUAUGCCAUAUGUGAUCUGUAAAUAUUUUAAAUUGACUCUGAAUAACAGAAGUUAUUCAGAGCAGCAGUUCGAUAUAAAGUAAGAGGUAGUAGUAGUUUGAAGUGAGACAGGAGAAUUGUUUUCAUCCUCCAAAAACCAAGCCAGUAUAUCAGGAACUGCUGGUUUGGAAAAUGUGCCUCAAUCCCAGCUGUGUUUCUCAACUAAUCUGAGUUUUUAAAAAGGGAUCAGAGAACAGAGAAGAUGGCAGGAGCAAAGGACUGCUUUAAACUAUGACAUACUCUUCACAUGGUCUUAGGAAAAGAAUCUGACUGGCUUUUCUUUUUUUUAAUCUAAAAAUAAAACAAAUUUUGCAUCCCUUGUCA